ACUGUCUCUUAAUCAUCAGGGUCUGAGUUCCCUCAGUGUAAAGUGACUGAUACUGUUACUGAUGAAGAGUUUACCUUCAGUCUUCAGUCCUCAGAAAUAUCAGGAGGAAAAGUUCAACCAACAAACAAACCUGGAAACAAAAACUCAAAGACAACCAGACCAGAAACAGAAAAUAUCUCACCAACCUUUCAAGGAAACAAGGACCCAAAGCAAACAGUUGGGAGCAGGAGAACUUCUGUCACAACAAAUCAAGGUUUAUGGCGUAUCAUCAUCGUCUCUGUGGGUUUAGCAGCUCUUUCUAUAACGGUUGUGAGCGUCAGCGUUUGGACCAGAACUAAAGAGCAUAAAGAAGAUGAUGAUGGAGAGAACUAUGAAAACACCUGAGGACUCUUUAGUUUGACCAAAUAUACACAGCCUUGGCUUUAGAUUUAUACAGAUUUGUGUUUUGAAAAGUUUAAAGCAGAGUAUAUUUCACUUCAACAUGGAGAAAAGCAAAUAUCACCUUAAA